AAAUCGCCAUAGCUAUUAUCCUAACUCUAUUGAUAUGUGGAGUCACUCUUUAUUUUCUAUUUCCACGAAGUCCUACGAUACGGCUCGUUUCAAUUACGCAGUACAAUGCUUCAAUUCCAGACACGGGUGAUGCUUAUAUUUUAUUUAAGGUAUCAAGUUUUCCAUGUAUAUCAUCAAUUAAUUUUGUAUUUUAUAUUUUUUACAUAAAUUUACGUAGACAGGAGAGUGAGGUUGUCCCAUAUAUGAUUUGCACGAUAAGGCAUAUGCCAAGUUUUCAAUGUUCGUAAGCUUUCGCUUUGAUUGACCAUCGAAUUUUGUUCCAGAAAUCUUAGUUCGUUUCCCUCUUGAAUUAUUAAAUUUUGGCAAAUAAAGAACAGAAGUUUAAACUGCCCAAACAGAGGUAACAUUGCACAUCAUCGUGUAUUCCACAUCUUACAAUACAAAACUAAACCCUUGGAGUGGAGCACUAAAUGGAGGGUUUGUGGCCUUUAGCUUUGCCGGAUCAUUCUGAAAACAACUCCAUGCGAUUAAGGCUCUCUUAAAUAGCUAAUUUGUUAAUUAGUUAAGUAGUUAAGUGUUUGAAUCGACUUAGGUCCCAAAAAUGUACUCCCUUUUCCAUAUUUCCCAAUUCCCACUCUUUAAAGCUGUACCCUCCAUUUUUAGUAUAAAAUGCGUAUUUUGAAAAUUGAGUUAUAACCAUGUCUUUCGCACAAAAAGGUUAGAGAUCGGUUAUAGGGUGGUGUUUAGGUCAAAACCAAAAUUAAUUAUUCGUGCCCGAAAAAUGAGAAUAUUGCGAAGAAUUCGACCCCCUCCCCCCCCCCCCCCCUCCUUCAAGAUCUACAAAAAGUUAAAACGUUACACAUAUUGAACAGUCUUCAACAUUAUUUUCUUUGAUUUUAACAUGUAGAAUCACUAUGCUGUGAAAAACGAGAACUUUGUAUCAGUGGAUUUGACAUCAAUAUCACUUACUGUAACAUUCCAUAAGGUUCAAGUUGCAGGUCCAGAUCCAUUCUAUAAAUUUGGAACAAAGACAGUUGAUCUUCGUUCUUCUAUC